UACAGAGGUCCCAAGCGUUACUGAGAAUCACUGGGUUUAAAGGGUGCGUAGGUGGUCCGUUAAGUCAGUUGUGAAAUCCCCGGGCUCAACUCGGGAACUGCUUCUGAUACUGGCGGACUUGAGGCCAGUAGGGGUCACUAGAACUGACGGUGGAGCGGUGAAAUGCGUAGAUAUCGUCAGGAAUGCCGGUGGCGAAGGCGGGUCUCUGGGCCGUUACUGACGCUGAGGAGCGAAAGCGUGGGGAGCGAACAGG
rnacentral:rRNA from 1 species